CACGUAGGGGGCGAGCGUUGUCCGGAAUCAUUGGGCGUAAAGAGCUCGUAGGCGGCUCGGUAAGUCGGGUGUGAAACCCCCAGGCUCAACCUGGGGACGCCACCCGAUACUGCUGUGGCUAGAGUCCAGUAGGGGAGUGUGGAAUUCCCGGUGUAGCGGUGAAAUGCGUAGAGAUCGGGAGGAACAUCUGUGGCGAAGGCGACUGCCUGGACCAACACUGACGCUGAGGAGCGAAAGCCAGGGGAGCAAACGGG
rnacentral:rRNA from 1 species